rnacentral:lncRNA from 1 species
UGUGACAAAAAAUAUAUUAAACCAGAAAUCAAGUAUCAGUUUCAUAGGUCAUAAAAUAUAACAAUAAACUGCAUGAUCAACGAUCUUACUCGGGAAGUCCACAGUUAUGACAAAUGGCCACAAAAAACGAAGAAUAACCUAAUUGACGGAUUUGGUAAUUGACGGAUUUGGAGACUGGAAACGAAGGGGCACCAUUCAAUUCUCAUUU